CGUAUAUGGGCACCUGAUCUAGCCAUGCCGCGUGAGUGAUGAAGGCCCUAGGGUCGUAAAGCUCUUUCGCCAGGGAUGAUAAUGACAGUACCUGGUAAAGAAACCCCGGCUAACUCCGUGCCAGCAGCCGCGGUAAUACGGAGGGGGUUAGCGUUGUUCGGAAUUACUGGGCGUAAAGCGCGCGUAGGCGGAUCAGAAAGUUGGGGGUGAAAUCCCGGGGCUCAACCCCGGAACUGCCUCCAAAACUCCUGGUCUUGAGUUCGAGAGAGGUGAGUGGAAUUCCGAGUGUAGAGGUGAAAUUCGUAGAUAUUCGGAGGAACACCAGUGGCGAAGGCGGCUCACUGGCUCGAUACUGACGCUGAGGUGCGAAAGUGUGGGGAGCAAACAGGAUUAGAUACCCCGGUAGUCA
rnacentral:rRNA from 1 species